AGUUUUAUAAUUUAUUAAAAAUAUUAAAUUGCAAAUUUGAAAAAAAAAUUAUUUUUUAAAACUU
rnacentral:tRNA from 1 species